ACACAUGCAAGUCGAGCGGUAGAAACUUUUAGCUUGCUAAAAGUUUUGAGAGCGGCGAACGGGUGAGUAACACGUUGGAAUCUGCCCCCAAGUCAGGGAUAGCCAUUCGAAAGGAUGAUUAAUACCGGAUAGUCUCUACGGAGUAAAAAUUUAUUGCUUGGGGAGGAGCCUGCGUUCUAUCAGUUUGUUGGUGAGGUAAAAGCUCACCAAGGCUAUGAUCUGAUAGCUGGUCUGAGAGGGUGAUCAGCCACACUGGAACUGAGACACGGUCCAUAC
rnacentral:ncRNA from 2 species